rnacentral:rRNA from 1 species
UACGUAGGCAGCGAGCGUUGCUCGGAAUCACUGGGCGUAAAGCGCACGUAGGCGGCUUUCUAAGUCAGGGGUGAAAUCCUGGAGCUCAACUCCAGAACUGCCUUUGAUACUGGGAAGCUCGAGUCCGGAAGAGGUGAGUGGAACUCCGAGUGUAGAGGUGAAAUUCGUAGAUAUUCGGAAGAACACCAGUGGCGAAGGCGGCUCACUGGUCCGGUACUGACGCUGAGGUGCGAAAGCGUGGGGAGCAAACAGG